rnacentral:rRNA from 1 species
GACGAACCGUGCGAACGUUGUUCGGAAUCACUGGGCUUAAAGGGUGCGUAGGCGGCCUGGUAAGUAGGGGGUGAAAUCCUGCGGCUUAACCGCAGGGCUGCCUUCUAAACUGUCAGGCUUGAGCACGGUAGAGGCAGAUGGAAUUCCCGGUGUAGCGGUGGAAUGCGUAGAGAUCGGGAAGAACAUCAGUGGCGAAGGCGGUCUGCUGGGCCGUUGCUGACGCUGAGGCGCGACAGCGUGGGGAGCAAACAGG